rnacentral:rRNA from 1 species
AUUGAACGCUGGCGGAAUGCUUUACACAUGCAAGUCGAACGGCAGCACGGACUUCGGUCUGGUGGCAAGUGGCGAACGGGUGAGUAAUGUAUCGGAACGUGCCCAGUCGUGGGGGAUAACGUAGUGAAAAUUACGCUAAUACCGCAUACGAUCUAUGGAUGAAAGCGGGGGAUCGCAAGACCUCGCGCGAUUGGAGCCGCCGAUAUCAGAUUAGGUAGUUGGUGGGGUAAAGGCCCACCAAGCCAACGAUCUGUAGCUGGUCUGAGAGGACGACCAGCCACACUGGAACUGAGACACGGUCCAGACUCCUACGGGAGGCAGCAGUGGGGAAUUUUGGACAAUGGGCGAAAGCCUGAUCCAGCCAUUCCGCGUGCAGGAUGAAGGCCCUCGGGUUGUAAACUGCUUUUGUACAGAACGAAAAGGUUUCUACUAAUACUAGGAGCUCAUGACGGUACUGUAAGAAUAAGCACCGGCUAACUACGUGCCAGCAGCCGCCGUAA